rnacentral:rRNA from 1 species
UGGGGAAUAUUGCACAAUGGGGGAAACCCUGAUGCAGCGACGCCGCGUGAGCGAAGAAGGUUUUCGAAUCGUAAAGCUCUGUCCUAUGAGAAGAUAAUGACGGUAUCAUAGGAGGAAGCCCCGGCUAAAUACGUGCCAGCAGCCGCGGUAAUACGUAUGGGGCGAGCGUUGUCCGGAAUUAUUGGGCGUAAAGGGUACGUAGGCGGUCUAUUAAGUCAGGUGUGAAAGCGUGAGGCUUAACCUCAUUAAGCACUUGAAACUGAUAGACUUGAGUGAAGGAGAGGAAAGUGGAAUUCCUAGUGGAACGGUGAAAUGCGUAGAUAUUAGGAGGAAUACCGGUGGCGAAGGCGACUUUCUGGACUUUUUCUGACGCUCAGGUACGAAAGCGUGGGGAGCAAACAGG